GACGAACGCUGGCGGCGUGCUUAACACAUGCAAGUCGAACGAUGAACCGGUUUCGGCCGGGGAUUAGUGGCGAACGGGUGAGUAACACGUGGGCAAUCUGCCCUGCACUCUGGGAUAAGCCCGGGAAACUGGGUCUAAUACCGGAUACGACACUCCGAGGCAUCUUGGGGUGUGGAAAGUUCCGGCGGUGCAGGAUGAGCCCGCGGCCUAUCAGCUUGUUGGUGGGGUAAUGGCCUACCAAGGCGACGACGGGUAGCCGGCCUGAGAGGGUGACCGGCCACACUGGGACUGAGACACGGCCCAGACUCCUACGGGAGGCAGCAGUGGGGAAUAUUGCACAAUGGGCGAAAGCCUGAUGCAGCGACGCCGCGUGAGGGAUGACGGCCUUCGGGUUGUAAACCUCUUUCAGCAGGGAAGAAGCGAAAGUGACGGUACCUGCAGAAGAAGCACCGGCUAACUACGCG
rnacentral:rRNA from 1 species